CACGCGGUAAACGAUGAAUACUAGGUGUAGGUGGUCUCAAAACUAUCUGUACCGCAGCUAACGCGAUAAGUAUUCCGCCUGGGGAGUACGACCGCAAGGUUAAAACUCAAAGGAAUUGACGGGGGCCCGCACAAGCAGCGGAGCGUGUGGUUUAAUUCGAUGCAACGCGAAGAACCUUACCUAGGCUUGACGUAGUGGUAGUAGUGAAGUGAAAGCGGAACGACCCUUCGGGGAGCCAUUACAGGUGC
rnacentral:rRNA from 1 species